rnacentral:rRNA from 1 species
CCUACGGGAGACAGCAGUGAGGAAUAUUGGUCAAUGGACGAGAGUCUGAACCAGCCAUGCCGCGUGCAGGAAGACGGCCCUAUGGGUUGUAAACUUCUUUUAUACGGGGGUAAAUUCCAAUAUGUAUAUUGUGUUGUAUGUACCGUAUGAAUAAGGAUCGGCUAACUCCGUGCCAGCAGCCGCGGUAAUACGGAGGAUUCGAGCGUUAUCCGGAUUUAUUGGGUUUAACGGGAGCGUAGGCCGUUCGUUAAGUUAGAGGUGAAAGCCCGGGGCUCAACUGGAGCAGUGCAGUUGAUACUGUGGGGCUAGAGUGCAGCAGAGGUAGGCGGAAU